GUUUGAUCAUGGCUCAGAUUGAACGCUGGCGGCAGGCCUAACACAUGCAAGUCGAACGGUAACAGGAAGAAGCUUGCUUCUUUGCUGACGAGUGGCGGACGGGGGAGUAAUGUCUGGGAAACUGCCUGAUGGAGGGGGAUAACUACUGGAAACGGUAGCUAAUACCGCAUAACGUCGCAAGACCAAAGAGGGGGACCUUCGGGCCUCUUGCCAUCGGAUGUGCCCAGAUGGGAUUAGCUUGUUGGUGGGGUAACGGCUCACCAAGGCGACGAUCCCUAGCUGGUCUGAGAGGAUGACCAGCCACACUGGAACUGAGACACGGUCCAGACUCCUACGGGAGGCAGCAGUGGGGAAUAUUGCACAAUGGGCGCAAGCCUGAUGCAGCCAUGCCGCGUGUAUGAAGAAGGCCUUCGGGUUGUAAAGUACUUUCAGCGGGGAGGAAGGGAGUAAAGUUAAUACCUUUGCUC
rnacentral:rRNA from 1 species